rnacentral:rRNA from 1 species
ACUAAAUCUAGCCCUAACAAACACUCAACUAAAUUAUAACCCAAAAUAAAACAAAACAUUUGACAAAAAUAGUAUUGGAGAAAGAAAUUUAUCUUAGGCGCUAUAGAGACAGUACCGCAAGGGAAAGAUGAAAGAUUAACUUAAGUACAAAUAAGCAAAGAUUAAACCUUGUACCUUUUGCAUAAUGAGUUAACUAGAAAACAUCUAACUAAGAGAACUUAAGCUAGAUACCCCGAAACCAAACGAGCUACCUAUGAGCAGUACAAAGAACCAACCCGUCUAUGUAGCAAAAUAGUGGGAUGACUUAUAGGUAGAGGUGAAAAGCCUACCGAGCUUGGUGAUAGCUGGUUACCCAAUAAAGAAUUUCAGUUCGACUUUAAGAUUGCCAUAAGAAAUACUAAAUCAAAAUGUAAUCUUAAAAUUUAGCCUGAAGAGGGACAGCUCUUCAGGAAUGGAAACAACCUUUUAUAGUGAAUAAAGUCCCUUAUCUAAAGACCAUUGUUGGCUUAAAGGCAGCCACCAAUAAAGAAAGCGUUAAAGCUCAACACAAUAAAACUUAAAUCCCACAAACCACGAUGACUUCCUAUAAAAAUUAAUUGGGUCAAUCUAUAAUUAUAUAGAUGAGAUACUGUUAACAUGAGUAACAAGAACAUUGUUCUCCAAGCACAAGCCUAUAACAACCCGGAUGCCCGUUGUUAGUUAACACCUGUAGGUGAAAACUCCACUAACUAAAAACACCUAAACUUAAGCUGUUAAUCCGACACAGGAGUGCUGUAAGGAAAGAUUAAAAGAAGUAAAAGGAACUCGGCAAACAAGAAUCCCGCCUGUUUACCAAAAACAUCACCUCUAGCAUUAAAAGUAUUAGAGGCACCGCCUGCCCAGUGACAAACGUUUAACGGCCGCGGUAUCCUGACCGUGCAAAGGUAGCAUAAUCACUUGUUCCUUAAUUGGGGACUGGAAUGAAUGGCUCCACGAGGAUUCAACUGUCUCUUACUUCCAAUCAGUGAAAUUGACCUUCCCGUGAAGAGGCGGGGAUAUAACAAUAAGACGAGAAGACCCUAUGGAGCUUUAAUUUACUAGCUUAACUUUUAAACUAUAACCCUAAUGGAAUAAAAAAUUAAGCCAUGAGCUAGUAGUUUCGGUUGGGGUGACCUCGGAGCAUAAAAAAACCUCCGAACGAUUUUAACCAAGACCAACAAGUCGAAGUAACUAAAAUCUAAUUGACCCAAUAAUUUGAUCAACGGACCAAGUUACCCUAGGGAUAACAGCGCAAUCCUAUUCGAGAGUCCAUAUCGACAAUUAGGGUUUACGACCUCGAUGUUGGAUCAGGACAUCCCAAUGGUGUAGCAGCUAUUAAUGGUUCGUUUGUUCAACGAUUAAAGUCCUACGUGAUCUGAGUUCAGACCGGAGUAAUCCAGGUCGGUUUCUAUCUAUUAACUAUUUCUCCCAGUACGAAAGGACAAGAGAAAUGAGGCCUCCUUAACUAAAGUGCCCCAAAACUAAUAUAUGAAAUUAUCUCAAUUUAGUAAGUUUGUAAAAUUUCACCCCAGACAAGGGUUCA